GCCCAACUCUCCAGCUGAGAUUUUUCUGUUAUGAGUUUGGUAUUUCCUCUGGGUACACAGACAGAAGGCCCACAUCGGGUCCUCUCUGCUGUCAGAAGAGGGUCGUUUUAAACGCUGGAAUAACGGGAAGCUAUAGUAUGCAACAACAAAAAAACGGCCCUGGGACACAUGUUGGCACUAAAAUUCCACUGGACACAAGGAAGCAAUGCUGGAUGUUCUUCAGAGUUUGAAAGAGGAUCGCUGACCCAAGCAGGGGAUCAAGGUCAAUGCUGGCACAUUCACAGCAGAAUUCAUUAGCUACGGCAAGUUUGCUGUUUGAGCAGCUGUUACUGGAUGCUGGUAGCACUGCAGGGACAUCGUGUCCGGAGGCCCUUGGGGUUAUUUUCAGGAACCGUUGGAGCAGCCUUCUGUGUUUCCGUCAGGAGACCCAGUGCUGAAGGAGAGUGGGAAAGGCUUCUUAGAGCUGUCACACGAAAUACUGGGCUGUCAUGUGUUGUUAAACUGGAAUUAAACUGUGACAGUGUUAAAAGUUGGAAGUCGCAAAUUCACAUUAUAUCAAUUAUUUACAAAGUAAAAUUAUUUGCUGCUGCUCUUAAGUAAUAAUAAAAGAUAUAGAUUGAAUAUAUUUUUCAAUAUUGCUGUGGAGCUGCGGUGUUAUGCAUAUAUGCCUGUGUGGUGUGGUAAAAAUAGUGUACUGAUACAAGUAAAAUCAAACUUGCAGUAAUGAAAAUAUAGUUAAAUUUUGGCCACUCAUUCUCCUGUAGACUGAUACUGUGCUAGUUUGUGUUUGUCUCAGGUUUUCAAGCAUUCUGGACAUGGGUGUAUAGAUGUGGGAUGCAGAUGGAGCUUAAGGGUAGAGCUUGUGUUUGUGUAGACCCUUGUGACUGGCCUGCUUGGGACCAUUUAGCCUAGUGAAUUUAAAGUAUCAUGUGACAGAAAAUCCUGCCCUAUGCCACAUACCGAUAACUCUUAUAUACAGCUCAAAAUACUGUCAUCCACUAGCAAUAAAACAGAAUAUGAUCCAGGUGAGGGGUAGCUUGGUGGUGCAGUGGUUAGCACUGUUGCCUCACACCUCUAGGACCCGGGUUUGAGUCUCUGCCUGGGUCACGUGUGUGGAGUUAGCAUGUUCUCCCCAUGUUGUCGUGGGGUUUCCUCCGGGUACUCCGGUUUCCCCCCACUGUCCAAAAACAUGCUGAGGCUAAUUGAAGUUACUAAAUUGCCCAUAGGUGUGCGUGUGUGAGUGAAUGUUGUGUGAGUGUGCCCUGCGAUGGGCUGGCCCCCCUUCCUGGGUUGUUCCCUGCCUCAUGCCCAUUGCUUCCGGGAUAGGCUCCGGACCCCCCGCGACCCAGUAGGAUAAGCAGGUUGGAAGAUGGAUAGAUGAUCCAGGUGUUCUUUCUCACUGGUCAGGAUCCAUAGACCUUUUCAUUAUCACAGCCUUGAAGGGCCACAGGUGCCAUUUCUUACCUUGAAUGGGUGACAUUUAACACCUUUAGCUGGAGAGAAGUCUUGUUCUUGUGACAAUGAAGCUGCUUAUGCUGCAGAAUUGGGGCUAGCAGGAGGCAAGCUUGUGAGAAAGCCGCACUUCCUGUCAGGAGGCCAUGAGAAUGUGCAAGUAUUCAGCAGAGACCAGCCACAGCUAGAACAAGGACGGGGGCGUUUUUCAUGAUCUGAGUGCCACUAGGUAUUUGUGCAAGUUUCAUGUGACACGGUCCUUGUCUUUUCUGGUAGUCGUACACAUGGGACCUGGCUUGAAUCAACAAAUGGUUUGCAGCUGUGAUGUGUACUGUGAUGUGUAGUGACUGAACUGUCAUAGACUAGUGUCACCUUUGGCUGCUCACUGUAUUAUUCUAAAGAUAGGCUCCUGAGCCCCGUAACUCUAAUAGGACAACAAGAUGCUGAAUAUAGGGAGAUGAAACGUUUCCUUCUCUAUUUCAAGCAUAAAAAAGAGUGUGGAAUAUUGUAGUUAGAACAGCAUUUCAUUCAUUUUUGGCUACCAAGCAGAUCCUUAAAAAUAAUUGUUCCUGUUUUUAAAGCAGAAACAUGCAAUCUUUUUUGGAAAAAAUGAGAAAAUUAAAUGUUAAAAAGGAGAGACUAUGAUAAUGAUUAUCUGUGUGCGGGGGGUACAAACCUCUACAAGCUGGACAGAGGAAAGGGAGAUGUGGGGAAGAGAUGUGAAAUCGCAGGAAGAAUAUAUUAGAGGCGGAUAAGAACAUGACAGUAGGAACAAGACUAUUUUAGCUGAAGGAAGAGGAAAAUCAAUAGGAUGAUCUUACUGAUGCUAAUGUUGCAUUUUCCAUACUAAGAUUCACACAUUAAAGUUCCUUAAACCCACUUAACAUGAAUAAAUUGAAUUAAAUUGUUAUACAGCUAUUGUGGUAUUUAUUAUGGAACAGUGGUAACAGUUUAUGCAGUGCAGUGCAAUAAUUUAUUUAUAUAGUUUUAUUAUUGCAUUAUAUAUGUAAAAUACUUAUUCAUCAUGUUAAUUGACUCAUGAGAUGAGUUACUUUGUAAAUUCAGAGGCUCCUGUUAGCCAGAUGUUUUUAUGAGAGAACAUAGCAAAUUUCAAGGAGAAACUGUUCUUUGUCCUUUUGAAUGUUCACCUAACAUGGUAGAUAUUAUCAGUCAUGUAUUGUUUACUGCUAAUAAAGCUUUCUAUUCAUAUUCA